GACGGGGGGUGCAAGCGUUAUCCGGAAUCACUGGGCGUAAAGCGUCUGUAGGUGGUGAUGCAAGUCACUGGUGCAAAACUCUGGCUCAACCGGAGGAAAGCCAGUGAAACUGCAUGACUAGAGUGUGGGAGAGGUAGAAGGAAUUCCCUGAGUAGCGGUGAAAUGCGUAGAUACAGGGAAGAACCCAGGAGGCGAAAGCGUUCUACUGGAACACAACUGACACUGAGAGACGAAAGCUAGGGGAGCGAAUGGG
rnacentral:rRNA from 1 species